UUGUAACUUAUCGGAGAUAUCAAUAAACAAGCUUUGCUUCAUUUCAAUGUAUUGUGUUAAAUACACCAAGGCCUUCUUCACUAAGUUCUUUGAAUUUUUCCUUUUGUUGAAACUUGUAUGUUGAAGCUUUGUGAGUGAAGCAUAUAGGUUGAGGUAGUGCUCCCUUAAUUUCCCAAGUGAGGAAAACUUCUCGUUUGGAGACUUGAAAAAUCCAAGUCACUGAGUGGUCAUGAGACUUCCGAGUAUCAAGGUGCAGUAGCAUAUGGUAGGAGUCCCCCAAGUCUCCGGUUGAGGCAUUUCCAUUCUAAGUGGUAGCCCAAAACUCCUUCUUCAUAUAUAUUUGUUAUGAAAGUUGUUAGGUCCAAAGAAUAGGAGGCAUAGGCAAUUUUUUUUUUCUAAAUUUAUAUUUUCGAUUUUUUGAAUUUCUGAAUUUUUGAAUUUUCAAAUUUCCAAAUUUUUUAAUUUCGAAUUUCCAAAAAAAAAAAUUAAAUAUAUAUAUAUAUAUUUUAAAGCUUUGUAGGUGAAGCUUUGGUGUUGAAGUUUUGUAGGUGAAACUUUGAGGUUGAAGCUUUGUUGGGCACCAUGAAUUGAUUUUGCUUCACACUAUCUUGAUCAAGAUAGUGUGAAGCUUUUGUAGGUGAAGCUUUUGUGUUGAAGUUGUGUAGGUCAAGCUUUUGUGGGUCAAGCUUUUGUGGGUCAAGCUUUUGUAGGUGAAGCUUUUGUGGGUCAAGCUUUUAUGGGUCAAGCUUUUGUGGGUGAAGCUUUUGUAGGUGAAGCUUUGUUAGGCACCAUGAAUUGAUUUUGCUUCACACUAUCUUGAUCAAGAUAGUGUGAAGCUUUUGUAGGUGAAACUUUUGUGUUGAAGUUUUGUAGGUGAAGCUUUUGUGGGUGAAGUUUUGUGGGUCAAGCUUUUGUGGGUCAAGCUUUUGUAUGUGAAGCUUUGUGGGUCAAGCUUUUGUAGGUGAAGCUUUUGUGGGUCAAGCUUUUAUGGGUCAAGUUUUUGUUGGGUACCAUGAAUUGAUUUUGUUUCACACUAUCUUGAUCAAGAUAGCGUGAAGCUUUUGAGAAUUUGUAGUUAUCCUCCAUUGAUGAAGCUUUUGUUGGUGAAGCUUUGGAGUUGAAGCUUUCGUUGAAUUUCCCUUUUGUUUUUUUUUUGGGAAACUAGAAAUUUGAAAAUGUGGGAGAGACAACAUAUACAAAUUUUGCUUCCACACUAUUGAGCAAGAAAUUGUGAUGCAAGCCACACCUUGUAGUAGUCGAAGGUUUGGAUGAACCAUAUAAAUUGAAUUUGCUUCUAACAGUCUUGAAUUUGCUUCGAAGG
rnacentral:lncRNA from 1 species